rnacentral:miRNA from 1 species
CUAUACAACUUACUGCCUUC